rnacentral:lncRNA from 1 species
GGGGAAAGUAAUCCGAUUACAUUACAUUACUGAGUUUGGGUAACCCAAAAGUUACGUUAAUGAUUACAAUUUUGGACAGGUUGCGAGUAACUAACGGAUUACAAGUAGAAAGUAACCUAGCCAACCCUGGCUACUUUCUCCUCUACCUCUAUCUGUAAUCACAGUCCCAUUAGGUUCAUGCUACCUGCAUAGGUUUAAGUUCCUCCUGAGUGCCGACAGUAGUGGUUUAGUAAGGUGAGCCACCCAGUUUACAGGGAUGGAUGGAUGACUGCAUCUCCUCCAUGCUGGUCAGUGACAGACCGUGUGGGCAAACCCGUCCUGCAGACAUCACUCGGAGUGACGGAAAAGUACCACGGUUGACCGACAGACCGAGCGCUGCUUCUCUCUGUCUGCACCCCUCAGGAGCACAUUGGGAUUGAGAGAUCAUCAAUCUUCACUCUCAUUUAUCUUCCCUCUCAGAGCCCAGCGGACAGGGAGCUUUGUCUUUCUAUGAAAGAAGCAUUCCUUUACUUGUCACUACAAUCACCUUCAUCUUCCAUAUGCUGUAAAUUGGAUUGUACAACAUGAGUAAGUUAGUCAACACCAUUGUAAAGUGUCAACAUGCAUCUCAGUGCAUCUUAGUGUGAAUAGCAUGUUCUGGCUUCAGUUUAGAUCAACAUCUGAGCAUGUUUAAUUAGGAUGAAGCAGAAUACGAACACUUAUAGGAAUGUGUGGUUUUAAAGUAUAAAGAGAAACUCUAAAGGUCAUUCCAUUUUACUUGAAAUGAUUAGGUUCAGUUCAUUUUACUGAUUAAAGACUAGAGGUAUGCACCGAUAUUAGCCUUUUCUCAGACUGUAGACUAUCCCGUAAUCACUUUAAUAAUGGUUACAUAUUUUGCAUUACUCAUCUCAUAUUUAUAUACUGUAUUUUAGUCUAUGCCGCUCAGACAUUGCUCGUCCAAAUAUUUAUAUAUUCUUAAUCCCAUUCCUUUACUUUAGAAGUAUGUGUAUUGUGUGUCUUGUUGUACAAUUGUUAGCUAUUACUGCACUCUUGGAGCUAGAAACACAAGCAAUAACAUCUGCUAAACAUGUGUAUAUGUGACCAAUACAAUUUGAUUUGAGUUCUAGUUUGAUGUCACAGAUAUUGGAGGUGCCCCCCUACUGACAGACAGCCUCCAUUGCAGGCUGAGCAAAGUCAAACAAGGCCACAGGACAGAAUUAUUGAAGUUUUACAUGGCUAGUCAUCUCUAGUGGACAUUGAGCAUCUGACCAAAUUACACACGAUUUGGGUUAACUAAGAUUACAUUGCUAAGUUAUCUUCUAGCUACUUACUGCCACUCCAGUGCCCAAUACCCACACACUAGGACUAAUCAAAGGCCCUAAUAUGCUGGAGGCAGGGAACCUGUCCUUGACUGUCCUUCAUCUCCAGACUCUGUGCUCCCUAGCUACCCAGACUCUAUAGGGACUAGGCUAAGAAGAGAGAGAAAUAAAUGAACCCAGAGCUCAGAAAACUCAUCUAUCUUUGCGGCUUAUGUUUGGAUUACCCCGCACUAAGCGCGUCAGUGGUAUCGGGCAGAACGAAACCUAUGCCAAUCAGUCGGUAACAAAAGAUGCCAACAUGAGAGAAAAAUUUGCGUGUAUGUGUGUGUACAGUGUCGUUUUCCCCCAUGGUGAAA